UCCCUUGCCGUGGUCCCUGAGAGCCCUCUUCCGACCCUUCCUCCUUCGGUGCUGACGGCUCCCGCGGCUCUUCACGCUGAGAUGUUUCACUGACUUCUGCCUGAAAUCUGGAGAAGGAACACUGCCCACUAGAUGAACAUGUGUGAAAAAUAACUUCCAAGGAACUUACAUCAUGUGCGCAGGGACUGUGCUAAACAAAACUGUCAGUCACUGGGGGAAUGUGGCUCCCUGAUCGCCACGACCGCCCCCUGCCGCAGCUGUUUCUCCUGUCACAUACAUAGGCAGGCUCCCUGUCUUGCAUGGGAGGGAGCAGACCCAAGGGACACCAGACCAACUUGAGUUCACCCGGGUUGACUAUCCACACCUCUCUCCUCUGUCUUUGGUAUCCCGUGAAAUAUGCUGUGUCUCUUCUACCCUGUGAUUCCUGUUCAUCUCAGGAAGCAGCUGAAAGGGUCAGGAAAGUCCUGGAACAUGAAACUACUGUUUGGAUGA
rnacentral:lncRNA from 1 species